GAUGAACGCUGGCGGUGUGCCUAAUACAUGCAAGUCGAGCGAACAGACGAUGAGCUUACUCCUCUGACGUUAGCGGCGGACGUGUGAGUAACACGUUGAUAACCUACCUAUAAGACUGGGAUAACUUCGGGAAACCGGAGCUAAUACCGUAUAACAUGUUGAUCCGCAUUGUUCAACAGUGAAAGACGGUCUUGCUGUCACUUAUAGCUGCAUCCUCGUCGCAUUAGCUAUUUGGUAAGGUAACGGCUUACCAAGGCAACGAUGCGUAGCCGACCUGCGAGGGUGAUCGGCCACAUUGGAACGAGAACACGGUCAAGACUCCUACGGGAGGCAGAAGAAGGGAAUCUUGGGAAGUGGGCGAAAGCAUGACGGAGAAAGGCCGCGUGAGGGAAGAAGGUGUUCGGUUCGUAAAACCCGGUUAUAAGGGAAGAACAAAUGUGGAAGGAAAUAUGCACGUCUUGACGGUACCUAAUCAGAAAGCAACGGCUAACUACGUG
rnacentral:rRNA from 1 species